rnacentral:rRNA from 1 species
CAGUCGCCACGGUAAUACGAAGGGUGCAAGCGUUACUCGGAAUUACUGGGCGUAAAGCGUGCGUAGGUGGUGGUUUAAGUCCGUUGUGAAAGCCCUGGGCUCAACCUGGGAAUUGCAGUGGAUACUGGGUCACCAGAGUGUGGUAGAGGAUAGUGGAAUUUCCGGUGUAGCAGUGAAAUGCGUAGAGAUCGGAAGGAACAUCUGUGGCGAAGGCGACUAUCUGGGCCAACACUGACACUGAGGCACGAAAGCGUGGGGAGCAAACAGGAUUAGAUACCCCCGUAGUCCCUGUCUCUUAUAC